AAAUUCUUAGUUUGAUCUAUGAUGAUUAAUCCAUAUUUGCAUUUGAAGUAGCCCCAGUGGCCAUGAGUAAGUUUUAAAAUCUGCUUAUCUCACAUUUUUAUGCAACUCUUCGAUGAUGCCAAAAGGGGAAAAAGUUGUGCUUUAAACAAGUGAUGUUUACACUUUGAACAGUGAUGUUUAUAACCUAAUGUACCUGGUCCUUGAUAAUAAGUGAUAAAAAGGAAAAAAAAUUCUAACAUUGUGUUGAUGUUGAGCUGAGUUGAAACAGGGUUUGUCAUCAUCAAAAAAGGCGAAUUUGUUGGCCCAAGUAAAGGUUUGUUUUGAAGAUUGACAAAGGAAGCUCACGCAUGAACCAGGUCCAUCUCUCAGGUUCAUAAAAACGAGCAGAUAUGAGCAUGUAGGAUGCAUGUGAAGGAGAUAAGCUUAACUUGGUGUGUUUAAUAUUUCCUGAUUGAAAAGGUUGCAUAAUUAAUAAGGAGAAGGACUCCUUAAUCAAAGAGAACACUAUCCAAGAUAAGGAAGGAGUUAGAAGUUGAAAUCAACUAGAACUCUUCCACCUAGGAAGAGUAGCAUUAGAACUCUAGUUAUUUCUUCAUCUACCAACUCUAUAAAUUGCAGGAGGUUCUCACAUUACAGGUGUUGCACAAAUGCAGAAGUUAAACACGAAUUGAGAGCAAAAUAGCAAGGCAAUUUUGCAAGCAUUUCGUGUGUGAUUCAAGUGUGCAAACCUGAAGCUACAUGAACCAGAUUGAAGAACCAGCUCCAUAAAGAGUUUUAUGUGUCUUUCUUUAUUUCUAGUUCAAUUGUAGUAGGCGUUUUUAUGUUGUACCCUUCAACUUUAUCUAGAAGCAAUUGUAAUAGGUACCUUGAGUAUUCAAGUUAGAGUUAACUUGAAGUUGUCGCAACAGUUAGAGGUUGAUUGCUACAACGGGAUUAGAGGUAAUCCUUAGAUUUACAAAGAGUUUUGUAAAUACUGCUUUAGCUUAGUGAUUUAGUGAAGGGUUUGGAAAAAUCCUACUGGGAAGUGGGUCGUGGUUUUUUCACCUUUUGAGCCAAGUGUUUUCCAAGUAAAAAUACUUGUGUUCUUUACUUUCUGCAUUUAUUAUUCUACAACAGUAGUAUAAGGAACACAUAGAAGAACCAGGACCUUCCAUAAUCAGUUUAAGCGAAAAAUUGGUCAACACACAAAUCACCCACUCUUGUGUGGUAUUGAAGUAUAAAACAUCAACAAAUGAUGUGAAAUUUUAGAGACCAACUUUUGCCUUUGGAUGACAAUACUUUGAAGAAUCUAAAGAAACAAAAAGUAUUUAAAGAUGAACUUUAUGCACAAAAAAUAAUUAUAUUUUCUGAUGCAUUUUCAUAUGCUUCUUUCGGCAUAAUUAAUUACUUAGUUAUUUUAAAAGUAUUUUAUUGUUUUGCCAUUCCCAUGUGUUUGGAUUCGUUUUUUCGAAUGAUGUGUUAUCCAACAAGCUAGCUAGUCGGUAAAACUUUUGUCGAAAAAUGAGUAAGUUACUUAAAACAUAAAAUAAUAUGAAAUAAACCACUCUUUUGUAGAAAACGAGAAUAGAGAUAUAUAAGCGUCACAGGAAAUAGUUAUUAAUUCAUAGUUUAAUAGAUCUUAUAAUUAUUUAUUUUCGACUAUGGGGCUUGGGGGAUGAUUCUCCUGUUCUCUUAUGUCACUACUUGCUAGAUAUAUACACGCGAACAUGCAUAAGCAACAUGGGUAGUGAUAGAUUGAUAAGUACUCCUUCAUUCUUAAAUUGAAGGUCGAGCUCUGCCUGUGAAGUCAUGCUCCAAUACGAAUAUUGAUUGAGUUGAGGUUGCAGUCUAAUUAUUACAAUUUUAUUGUGUUGUUAACAUUUUACUAAGGAUAUUACUACAAACUUGUUUUCUUUGGGAGAGACAACCCCGUCAUUUUCAAAUUGUCUCCUUUUCAUCAUUUGAGAAUCUUAGAUUUAAAGCUCACACAUGAUAGAUGCAUCAUUUUUUAUUCAUAAUGUGUUAUCGUCUUUAGAUUCCUAUUUCUUUUUUGUUUCUUUGUCGUCUCAUUGGAUUAAAAAAAAAUUCAAGAAAUGAACAAUAUAAAAAGCGGAAGUUACACAAUUAAUGAAUAUGUACAGUCAGACCUUUCUAUGAUAACAUCCAUAUAUAAUAGUUAUUCAUUAUAAAAGCUGAGUUUUUCUCGGAACCUAUUAUUAUAUUAUGUUAUAAUAUAUGUCCUCUAUCACAAUACUUCACUAUAGCAAUAAAAAAAAAUUUGGACAAACAAAACUAUUAUAGAAAGGUUUGACUAGGGGUGUGCAUUCGAAUCGGUUUAUCGAUAAAUCGAAACGAUUAUUUGUUAUCGAAAUCGAAAUCAAAAAAAUGGAAAAAAUCGAAACCUUAUUGAAACGAUAAUGAUAAGCAUAUGUACAAAUUGAUAAUCGAUAAGUAAUUAUCGCUAAGGGUCAAAACCGAAUCGAUAAAUCGAAUGCACACCCCUAGUGUAGACACUUGUAAAAUGAGUAAUUACCUAUUUGUGUAGAUUAAUUAAUUUAUCACAAAUAUCGUAUAGCUAAUCUAUAGGGGUAUUAUCACUUUUAGUCUACGCCAGAUAUUUGGUAGCAGAAAAAGUGUAUAAAAUUUAUACUAUAAUUUUUUAAUAUAACAUACAGAAUGUAUAUAUAUUCCGCUACUAUUUUGAAAGCGGCUAUACAAUAUUAUUUUCCCUAAUCUAUAUAGAAUGCGUCACCGAUAAGAUAUACUAAAAAGACAAAAAAAAAUAUUACUUUUUUACCCUUAUUCUAUAAUACUCUUUCCUUUAUCCUAAGUCCCCAAUCCUAUUAUUUUCUCUACCACAUUUAAGGAAUGAUCAUAUUUAAAGAUCAAGAGAAUGAAAUUCAAAUUAAUGGAAAACAGAAUUAGCCGUGAUGAUGUAUUUUGUUUUGUUUUGUUUUUUUUUAUACCGUUGGAGUGUUGGUGGCAUACAUUUGAUCGCUUACUUUAGUUUUGUUGCAUGUGUUUGUUGACACAAUUUUUAUGUUAUAAACGGUGUUCGUCUUAUUUUAACUUCUUUUUGUCCAUAUUAGUUAGGCGCGUUUAUAGCGAUGUACUUUCCAUGGAAUCCCGCAAAUUUUCUUAUUGGUGUAAUCGAUAACCGAAUCGAUAAGGCCCCAAAAUCGAUAAAUCGAAAUCGAAAAAAUCAAAAUCUUAUUGAAAAGAUAACGAUAAGCAUAUGUACAAAUUGAUAAUCGAUAAGUAAUUAUCGAUAAGGAUCAAAAUCGAAUCGAUAAAUCGAAUGCACACCCCUAAGUUUGACAGUACUCGUAUUCAAGAAUGUCGAGAGGCAAAACUCAAACUUAUCUUCUACAACAGAUUGCAAUAACUUAUGUGAUGGUUUCUUCAUAGUCUCACUUACUUGCUUUGUCACUACAGAAGGCAAUUUUCUCAGAAGAAACAAAGAGUGAAGGCCCGCAAUAAGAGGCAGAGUCAGAAUUUAAAGUUUAUGGGUUUGGGAAUCUAGUACGUUUAGGUUACUGGGUUGUAAAUUAAUAAUUUAUACAUAUUUAAUAUAUUUCAUAAGACAAAUAUAGGAUUUGUAUUAAAGUUACUAGGUUUGGCCAAACCCGUAACUUAUAUUCUAGCUCCGCCCCUAUGUAACGACCCGACCGGUCGUUUUGAGCUUUUGCACUUUGCUCUCCAGUUCUCGGGCAUGACUUGCUCCGUGUAAUGUAUUAUGACUUAUGUAAAUCGUUGGUUUUGGUUUUCAGGGUAAUCAGAAUGAAUUUAGAAGAACAGUUCUCAGUUUGAUGCUUGAAAUUUGAAAGGUUUGACCAAGAUUUGACUUGUUUGUAUAUGAUCUCGGAUCAAAACAUUUAUGAUUUGGUUAGCUCCAUUAGGUGAUUUGAGACUUAGGAGCGUGAUCGGAAUGCAUUUUGGAAGUCCGUAGAAGGUUUAGGCUUGAAUUGGCGAAAUUUAGAUUUUGGCGUUUUCCGGUUGAUAGGUAAAAUUUUGAUAUACGGGUCGGAAUGGAAUUCCGAAAGUUGCAGUAGCUCCGUUGUAUUAUUUGUGAUGUGUGUGCAAAAUUUUAGGUCAUUCGGACAUGGUUUGAUUGGGUUUUUGAUCAAAGGCAUAGUUUUGAAGUUCUUGGAAUUCUUAGGCUUGAAUCCGAUGCAAUUUUGGUGUUUUGAUGUUGCUUUGAGCGUUCCGAAGGUUGGAACAAGUUUUAAUGAGGUUAUGGGAUAUGUUGUCAUGUUUGUUUGAGGUUCCGAGGGCCUCGGGUGAGUUUCGGAUGGUCAAUCGGACCAUUGCAUGUUGUUGGGAUGCAGAAAAUUGUUGAUCAGUGUUGCAGAGAAAUGGCCUUCGCGUUCACGAAGGGUUAGCUGGUAAAGGCUGGAAUUUUAGCCUUCGCAUUUGUGAGGAAGGCUCCGCGUUCGCAAAGGGCUGAUUGUUUGGGUAUCGCAUUCGCGCGUGAAGCUCCGCGUUCGCGUAGAGGAAAUUGGUCAGCUGACCUUGAGGUGUUUUAUUCACCAUGUUCGCGAGAGAGGUAACACGAUCGCGAAGGGUCAAGCUGAGGAGCCAUCACAUUCGCGAGUGGCUGGUCGCGAUCGCGAAGAGUAAUUUUAGUUCAAAGUUAUUUUGUGCUUCGCGAACGCGAGGCGUUGACCGCGUUCACGAAGAUGGUUUUUGAUGCCGGGGCAGAAUGUUUAAAUAGCCAUUAUCCGCAAUUUUGGGGCUAACUUUCACCAUUUUUGGGCGAUUUUGGAGCUUUUUGAGAUAAUUUGAAGAGGGAUUCAAGAGAUAGCACAUGGAGGUAAGAUUUUUGAACUCAAUACUCGAUCCUAUGUUGAUUCUUACUUGUUUAGUCAUGAAAAAUGUGGAAAUUAAAGCCUAAAAAUUGGCGAACUAGGGCUUGAAUUUGGAGAGUGUAAAUUGGGAAUUUGAAGGGGCAAUUGAGGUCUGAUUUUGAUGUUCUUGGUAUGUAUAGACUUGUGAGAGGAUGAGGAUUCUAUUGAUGUAACUUUUAUCAGAUUUCGAGAUGUAGGCCCGGGGGCCGAGUUUGAGCAAUUUCAGGAUUUUUGAUGUAAAUUGGAUAUUUUCGAGUGGGCUUUGUUCCCUUAGCAUAUUUUAAUAGUUAUGCAUUGAUUGUGGUUAGAUUUGGAGCAUCCGUAGGCCGAUUCCUAAGGGCAAAUGUAUCGCAGGCUAAAGUUUGGACUAGAUCGAGGUAAGUAAUGAUUAUAAAUACUGUCCUAAGGGUUUGAAACCCCAGAUUUCACAUCGUUAUGCUACUUUGAGGUGAUGCACACGCUAGAUGACGAGCGUGGAGUCAUGCACCCUUGAGGAUUGUGACUUGGUCCAUCCCGUACAACUGUUAAGUCGCGUAUUUGAUUUGAAAUCUUAUGAUAUUCCAUAUUUUAGAGAUUGAUAUUAUAUUUUGGGUUGUACGCCAUGUUUGGGGCUUUGUGUCGACCUGUUGAGACCCUUAGGGGAACUUUCAUUAUUUUUCCUCAAUCUAUUUGUUUUGAAAGCAUAUUCUCAAUCAUGUUUUACCUGUUUAUUGUUUAAAUAUGUUUUUAUCACUUUACUUCUUAAAAUGUGAAAACUGUUUGGAUUGAGUUUCCUGUUUUACUGAUGGUCCGAGUGAUAGGAGCCUUUGGGCUAUAGGAGCCCCUCCGGAGUCUGCACACCCCCAGAGAGCGAAGUCGACUAUAUAUAUGGAUCGGGCUACACACCGCAGCAAUAUAUGGAUCGGACUGUAUGUCGCAACGGUUACUAUAUGGUACCUAUUGAGUAUGGGUGCUGAGUGUGAGCACUGAUUGGUAAGAGUUGAGUCACGAGUGACUGAGAGGCUUGCCCGAGGGGCUAUCUAUAUACAUGUACACGAGUGAUGCUUGCCUGAGGGGCCUGGUUAUGAGCUUAGUGUUUUUCACUCCUCCUUAAAGUGAGUUUCUAUCGAAUAUGUUGAUUUAAUUAUUGCUUUCACUCAUCUUUAGAUCGAGCCUCUAUUGAAAAUGUUGAACACAUGUUUUAAACAACUUUCAUUUAAACUGAAGUUUUAAGUUAUGAAAUGGGUAUGAAUUUCUGUUUUGCCGAGAAACUGUAUACGAACUAUGUUUCGCCCAAGGGGCCGAUUAUGAUUUUCAUCACUUUCACUUUAUAUAUAUAUANNNNNNNNNNNNNNNNNNNNNNNNNAUUAAACUUAUAUUGAAAAGGUUAGAAAGAUAAAAAAUUUUAAGGAUUUUACUGAAGUAGGAGUUUAAUGAAAUGAUUUGAGUGGUAUUCUGAUUUGGAAAUAGGUUGUAAUCACUGUGGUGCUAUGACGUGAUUGAUGCCUUUUCUUACUGCUCAAUCUUUAUUUACUCUUAUUUCUUACUGGGUUGGAGUAUUCACAUUACUCCCUGCACCUCGUGUGCAGAUUCAGGUAUUUCGAAACCCCGUAGUGGGUGUUGAUUGCUUAGAGGUGGAGUCAUCGGAGUUAGCAAGGUGGUUGCACGAUGUUCGCAGCACUGCCUUCCUUCCCCUCAUUUUCAUUACUGUAUUUAGAACAUUUUUAGACUCUUGUUGUAUUCAGACCUUGGUAGAUGCUCAUGACUAGUGACACCCCGAUGUCGGGCUUGUGUAAUUAUUCUGUAUUUUUCUUUUUAUUUUUUUAAAUUUCAUUAUGAGGUUAUUGAUUAAUAAAUGGUAUAAAAGUAACUUUUAUAGAAUAAUGGUUGAUUCGGGAGUUGCGUCGACUGGCCUAGUUUCACGAUAGGCGCCAUUAUGACCAGGUCACUUUUUGGGUCGUGACAAAUUGGUGUCAGAGCCUAGGUUACAUAGGUCUCAUGAGUCAUGAGCAGGUUUAGUAGAGUCUCGCGGAUCAUUACAGAGACGUUUGUACUUAUCCUCGGGAGGCUGUAGAACCUUUAGAAAAAACUUCACAUUCUUGAAUUCUUAUCGAGCGCCCUUGAUUCAGCUUGGAAUGUAACUGUUUGAAUUCCUUCCAUGCAUUCAUAUGCGCGCAUGAGCGCUCAGUAUCAGAUAUGCAUCGAUGGCUUGUGAUUCCCUGAUCGAGGGCGAGAUGUGAUCUCUGUGUUGAUAUUGGGCUAGUCUGGAAGACUUGGGGCCGGAUUUUUGCCUAUAGUUUGAUCCCUGGGCUGUUGAUUGCGUGAGCACGUGUUUCUGGAUCUAUACGUUCUGUGGUAUCCCUAUUAAGGGAAGUAAGGACUGGAUAGCUACGUGAUGAGGGUAAAGUGACUACGAGAUGUUUUCAUAUGAAUCAAAUGAGGCGAGAAGUGUCUGCUUUGGGGUAGCAAGAAAUAUUAGUUACUUGAUUUUCAUCUCGAUUUGAGGUAUAGCCCUGAGUUAUGGGCGUAUGAAUAAUCUUUUCAUAUUUCCUAGCUGGGAGUGAGGUAAAUCUCAUGUUGCGGUAUGAGUUCAGACUCAGGGAGAUCAAGCGACUGUGUAAUGUCUAUGAUGGUGGAAGGUAUACAGAAAUGUUAGUUUGAGACAAGGCAGGUGGGUUACCUCCUGUGGAGUGUUCUGAAGUUGUGUGAUCCUUAUGUUGUCUGCUAGAAGAUCUCAUUUACAAGUGAAUUAUAUGUGUUGAAAUUUGAAUUUGGGUCGCUAAAGAGGGUGGGCAUGACUGUUACGAGGGUGAACGCGAGAUUUGCAAAAGGUUUAAAGUACUAGAUGGUCUGUUUUUCACGAGCCAUGAAGUAUGGAGUUUAAUCUCACUUUGGUACUAUGGCAGCAAUAGAGUAUAUGUUUAUGAGUUAUCAUAUAUGUGUUUUGAUCUAUGGCUUCGAGCCAAGGAGUCUGCUAUUGAUUAGUUGACUGCACGGUUAUGUGCUAUAUUAGUACCAGUUGAGGCGUACAUAAGAAUCGGUUAUGGCCUACGGAGUUUGAGAUUGAAGAUGGCUCGAGUAAAGAAAAAUUCUUGACAAAGGUUAUAAUAUGCUUCAUAGGUGUGUAAGAAUCACGGAAUGUCUUGAGUUUUUGUUGGUAAAGGAUGCUCGGUGUAUAGAGCAGGAAGCUGCUUGGUUGUUUUAGGAUGAGGUUACACUCUGCGGUGUCGGAGUGCUAUUGAGGCACGGGUUAUUUGGUUCGUUUGAUCAAGCUAAUUGCAGUUUGAGUAGAGUGAAUGACUCUCGAGAAUGGUUCUAAUGUGUCCAAGAUUUUACAUGGGAUAAUUGGAUAUUUUCAAGUUGUAUAUGUGGCUAGAAACCGAGUUUUCAUUGGAGGAUGUCAAGACUUGUGGCAUUUUUAUAUCAAUUAUGGGAGUUUAUAUAUCAUUAUCAGGAAGGUGAAGGUAAUGGCUUGGGAUUCGUAGGAAGUCUCUUCAGGGUAGGAUUUUGAACGUAGUGCUUUUGGGAAUAUUUAAGAGAGUAUUCGGCGGCUUAUGAGACUUAGACGGUGUGGUGUUUUGCUCGAGUCUCAUGUGGCGAGUCUGGGCUGAGGAUUGUGAUAUGAUAACAUGAAUAAGUAUCAAGACGAAGGUAAAUUUAGAGGGACUUGUAUACAUGGGAUAGCUUGGUAGUAGGUCGGCUCAGUAGGGGAAAGGAUAUGAUGAGUUCUCUGGGUACUUAUGAGGUAAUGGGUUUCUACAUGUGUUUCAUGACAAUUCCCUUGGGUUUAGUGACCUACGUAGCUCGGUUGAGUUAGAAUGGUUUAGUCUUGAUGAUUUAGUGUUGUGCAAAUGGAAUUCGGAGAGCUCUAGAUGGUUUCCACCACAGUUAGAGAGGUAUAUUUUUCCUAUUAGCGUGAGGAGCAUGGGAUGUAUAGUGAUUUUCUUCUACAUGGGAUCAAUGGGAAGUUCUUGGUUGGUUGAGUAAGUAGCUGCUGGUAGCUCGGAGUGGUUUGCAAAGUUCUCGUAAUUAUUAUUUGGGUGGUAUAGUAUAUGCGAUAUAUUGUAUGGGGUUGAGGUUUGCAUGUGUAAGGUCACGGUUCAGUUUUGAAAGAAAGGUCAUAAAUUCUUAGAUAGCAUAGGCAGCUUUAGGUGACUAGAUAAAUGAGAUCACUAAUUGGUGUGGCUUGAUGAAGGUAUACAUUUCAGAAGGGGCGAUGUGUUUGAGUUAUGGAUGCUUUAUUGGUAUUGUGGUACUAUCUCGUCUGAUCGACUGAUGAUAUUCGAGUUUUUUUUGUGGCACAGAAGAAUUAUGGGUGUACCCCUCAUGGGAUGAUUGAGUAUUAGAGGUAUGUUGUAUAUUCGAGCGGCAAAAUUAGGAUCAGAUAUGGUAAUUCGUGUGUCUUAUGGACGUGGAGACUGAAAGUUCUCAUAAAUAGGUUAACUUGUGGUUGUGGACGGUAAAGAUGUGGUCAAGUUAGUCAGAUGAUAGUAUGUACUAUGAUUCAGUCAUUGUGAACUUUCGGAGGGUUAUUUAUCUGUUGUGGGUGACUAGAGUUGAUAUGUGGUUCAUUGGUAGACCUAUAUGGAUGUGUGUUCUGCAUUGAGACGGCUUUAUUGACUUCGAGUUGCUAUUGGUGAGGGAUGUGUUGAUUCGGUUGUUAUGGAGCUGUUAGUAAUCACGGGGAUAUAUGAGUUAUCUUCCGUGUUGCGAGACGUUAGGAUUUGUUGGUUAUAGGCACAUGUGGUGCGGUGUUAUUGGGGCCUCUCAGUGGAAUUCGAGCGGGAAGAGCACUGGGUAUCGCUCGGUGGAUGGCGUAUUGGUUAUGUCCUUUCGAUUUGUGUGGUGUUAUGUAAUUGCCUCGCGGUGGUUAUGAUGAUUGCUUUAGUUUAGACAUCAUAUUGCGCACAGUUGUCGAUUUUGAGCAUAGUAACUUAAGGUGUCUCAUGAGUACUAGUGUUUGGAUGAGGUCGCGCAUUGGAGAGAAGCUAUGUGGAAGUAUGAUCUUGUGGGUUAGAUUCGUAUGUUCUAUUUCUACAAUGUGUGGCGGGUUAUCAGCCUUGUGUUGUGGUGGUGCUAGUGAGCUUGCGGUACAGCUCUUUCAUUUGAGUCACUUUCAUGAUUUGAGUAAGUUCAGAUUAUGGCUUAUUGGUGUACGGAUUGCACAAGUCCUAGCUCUAGUCUGUAUUGAUGUGAAAAUGUCACCAGAGUAGCUGUGUUGGAUUAGAUGAGAUCGUCGGGAUCUUUAAUGACUGCAAACUGAUUUGAUUUCAGCAUGUUGGAAGGAUAACAUCGAGGUUCGGUGCAGAAAUUUAUUAUAGUCUUUGCCAAAGGAGAAGUGGCUUCAUGAAUGGUUGAUCUGAGAAAACGGUUAUGGCUUACUGCGUGUUUCAUUUUUUAUUGGCAGCAUAUGAAAGUGUUGGAAUGAGACUUUAGUUGAUAAGAGGUUUCCUAUCGAUAUUCGGUUGUUGUGUGCAGUUGUUGUGAUUAGAAGUUAUCGCUGCAAGCGUUUGAGUUAUGUGGUAUAUCAUGUAAUUGUACCGAGGUUACGGGUAUGGGUUAUUAUAGCUUGUUCGGGCUUAGUCAGAGUAUAGAUGUGAGAUUUUGAUCUUGUGGAUGAUUUCAGAAGUGGAAAUGUGGUUCUAAGGUUCAUGGGCUAGGUUGGACUGUGAAAUUUCAGUUACAUUGUGUUAUCGGACCUAUACGAGAUAGGGUGACGUGGUAUCACCCCUGGGUAUGUGCAUGGUAAGGUUAUUCAGCGAUUAGUUGGCUUUUGGAACAACUCUGGGCACGUUCGAGGACGAACGUAUGUUUAAGUAGGGGAGGAUGUAACGACCCGACUAGUCGUUUUGAGCUUUUGCACUUUGCUCGUCAGUUCUCGGGCAUGACUUGCUCCGUGCGAUGUAUUAUGACUUAUGUAAAUUGUUGGUUUUGGUUUUCAGGGUAAUCAGAAUGAAUUUGGAAGAACAGUUCUCAGUUUGAAGCUUGAAAUUUGAAAGGUUUGACCAAGAUUUGACUUGUUUGAAUAUGAACUUGGAUCGGAAUUUUUAUGACUUAGUUAGCUCCGUUAGGUGAUUUGAGACUUAGGAGCGUGAUCGGAAUGCAUUUUGGAAGUCCGUGGAAGGUUUAGGCUUCAAUUGACGAAAUUUAGAUUUUGGCAUUUUCCGGUUGAUAGGUGAGAUUUUGAUAUAGGAGUCAGAAUGGAAUUCUGAAAGUUGCAUUAGCUCCGUUGUGUCAUUUGUGACGUGUGUACAAAAUUUUUAGGUCAUUCGGACGUGGUUUGUUUGGGUUUUUGAUCAAAAGCGUAAUUUGGAAAUUCUUAGAAUUCUUAGGCUUGAAUCCGAUGUGAUUUUGGUGUUUUAAAGUAGCUUUGAGCGUUCUGAAGGUCGGAACAAGUUUGAAUGAGGUUAUGGGAUAUGUUGGCAUGUUUGGUUGAGGUAUCGAGGGCCUCGGGUGAGUUUCGGGUGGUCAAUCGGGCCAUUGCAUGUUGUUUGGAAUUGCAGAAAAUUGCUAAUCAGUGUUGCAGAGAAAUGGCCUUCGUGUUCGAGAAGGGUUAGCUAGUAGAGGCUGGAAUUUUAGCCUUCGCGUUCGCGAGGAAGGCUCCGUGUUCGCGAAGAGCUGAUUAUUUGGGCAUCGCGUUCGCGGGUGAAGCUCCGCUUUCGCGUAAAGGAAAUUGGCCAGCUGGGCUUGAUGCGUUUUAUUCAUCGCAUUCGCGAGAGAGGUAACGCGAUCGCGAAGGGUCAAACUGAGGAGCCAUCGUGUUCGCAAGUGGGUGGUCGCGAUCGCGAAGAGUAAUUUUGGGUCAAAGUUAUUUUGUGCUUCGCGAACGUGAGGCGUUGACCGCAUUCACNNNNNNNNNNNNNNNNNNNUAUGAAAAUUAAAGCCUAAAAAUUGGGGAAUUAGGGCUUGUAUUUGGAGAGUGUAAAUUGGGAAUUUGAAGGGGCAAUUGAGGUCCGAUUUUGAUGUUCUUGGUAUGUAUAGACCAUGAGAGGAUGAGGAUUCUGUUGAUGUUACUUUUAUCAGAUUGCGAGACGUAGGACCGGGGGCCGGGUUUGAGCAAUUUCAGAAUUUUUUAUGUAAAUUGGAUAUUUUUGAGUGGGCUUUAUUCUCUUAACAUAUUUUAAUAGUUAUGCACUGAUUGUGGCAAGAUUUGGAGCAUCCUGAGGCCGAUUCCUGAAGGCAAAGGUAUCGCGGGCUAGAGUUUGGACCGGAUCGAGGUAAGUAAUGAUUAUAAAUACUGUCCUAAGGGUUUGAAAUCCCAGAUUUCACAUCGUUCUGCUACUUUGAGGUGAUGCACAUGCUAGAUGACGAGCGUAGAGUCGUGCACCGUUGGGGAUUGUGACUUGGUCCGUCCCGUACGACUGUUAAGUCACGUAUUUGAUUUGAAAUCUUAUGGUAUUCCAUAUUUUAGAGAUUGAUAUUAUAUUUUGGAUUGUACGUCAUGUUUGGGGCCUUGUGUCGAACUGUUGAGACCCUUAGGGGUACAUUCACUAUUUUUCCUCACUCUAUUUGUUUUGAAAUCAUAUCCUCAGUCAUGUUUUACCUGUUUAUUGUUUAAAUAUGGUUUUAUCACUUUACUUCUUAAAAUGUAAAAACUGUUUGGACUGAGUUCCUUGUUUUACUGAUGGUCCGAGUGAUCAUGAGGUUGAUGACUGAGAUAGACCGAGGGUCUGAUUCUGAGGAUAAUGGUUGAGAGAGGUCGAGGGACUGGUUGUGAGGAUUAUACAUUUAUGGAUCGGGCUGCACGCCGCAGUGAUCCAUAAAUGUGUGUGAGUGUGUGUGUGUAUAUAUAUAUAUAUGGAUCGGGCUGCACGCCAUAGCGAAAUAGUGCUUGGGCUGUAGGAGCCCCUCCGGAGUCUGCACACCCCCAGUGAGCGUAGUCGACUAUAUAUAUGGAUCGGGCUGCAUGCCGCAGCUAUAUAUGGAUCGGGUUGUACGCUGCAACGGUUAUUAUAUGGUACCUAUUGAGUGUGGGUGCUGAGUGUGAGCGUUGAUUGGUAAGAGUUGAGUCACGAAUGACUGAGAGACUUGCCCAAGGGGCUAUCUAUAUACAUGUAUACGAGUGAUGCUUGCCUGAGGGGCCUGAUUAUGAGCUUAGUGUUUUUCACUCCUCCUUAAAGUGAGUUUCUAUCGAAUAUGUUGAUUUAAUUAUUGCUUUCACUCAUCUUUAGACCGAGCCUCUAUUGAAAAUGUUGAACAAAUGCUUUAAAUAACUUUUAUUUAAACUGAAGUUUUAAGUUAUGAUAUGGGUAUGAAUUUCUGUUUUGCCGAGAGGCUGUAUACGAACUAUGUUUCGCCCGAGGUGCCGAUUAUGAUUUUUAUCACUUUCACUUUAUAUAUGUAUUUCAUUAAACUUAUAUUGAAAAGGUUAGAAAGAUAAUUUUUUUUAAGGAUUUUACUGAAGUAGGAGUUUAACGAAAUGAUUUGAGUGGUAUCCUGAUUUGGAAACAGGUUGUAAUCACUGUGGUGCUAUGACGUGGUUGACGCCUUUUCUUACUGCUCAAUAUUUAUUUACUCUUAUUACUUACUGGGUUGGAGUACUCACAUUACUCCCUGCACCUCGUGUGCAGAUUCAGAUAUUUCGGAACCCGGUAGCGGGUGUUGAUAUAUUGCUCAGAGGCGGAGUCAUCAGAGUUAGCAAGGUGGCUGCACGACGUUCGCAGCACUGUUUUCCUUCCCCUCAUUUUCAUUACUGUAGUUAGUACAUUUUUAGACUCUUGUUGUAUUCAGACCUUGGUAGAUUCUCAUGACUAAUGACACCCCGAUGUCAGGCUUGUGUAAUUAUUCCGCCUUUUUUUUUUAAAUUUCAUUAUGAGAUUAUUGAUUUAUAAAUGGUAUAAAAAUAACUUUUAUUGGAAAAUGAUUAAUUCGGAAGUUGCAUCGGCUGGCCUAGUUUCACGAUAGACGCCACGACCGUGUUUGAUUUUGGGUCGUGACACCCCACCUACAAUUGGACCUGAUGUUGUUGAGAAGUAAUAUUAAGAAGCCUAACAAUAUGCCACUCGGAUAUAUUAUAGUUUUACGAGAACAUAAUGCAUUUUGGAGGUCUUUUUUUCUUUUUCCUUUUUUUUUGGGCGGGGGGGGGGGGGGUUAGCUAGCUUUGUGUGCAUCAUGUAUAAAUUCUGACCUAUUUUGUUUUCGAAAAAGGGCCAAAGAUGUCCCUAACCUAAUGGAAAUGGCUCAAAAAAAAUCCCUGUUAAUAUUUGGGACCGGAAAUACCCUCAACGAUUUUUUAGGCUCAAGUCUGCCCAUGAGAUUUAAUAGACCGGCCAUGGUCAAAUUUACACUUUAAAGUUCCACGUGGCACGUUAUAAGUGUGCCACGUGUAUUAAACAUUAAACAAAAUUAAAAUCCAUCUUUAAAAAAUACUCAAACCAACCCGCUACCCAUAAUACUUAUAACCCAUUUAACUAAAACCUAAAAACGAGCGGUAAGUCAGAUUAAACACCCCCUCCCCCCAAACCAAUUCCUUCUUCCACAUUUUUACUUCUUUAAUUAGGUAAAUUUUCUUCUUCCUCUUCUUUCUACCAAUUUCGUUAAUAAUAAUCUCCCGUUAUCUUUGUAUAAAAAAUUAUUCUUUUGGGAUAGAAUGUCCAAGAAUUCGGUUUCCUCUCAAAGCUCAACCCAAUCGAGUAGAUGUAAUUGAGGAUAGGUUACGAGUCAAUUUACGGCCAAAACUCCUAUUAAUUUAUGGAGUAAUUAAGUAAUAUUUUGCCGAGAAACUUGUAAGUUUGUAUUUUAAUGUUCUGGAUGAUUUUACUGAAAUUUUAUUUUGAUAAGGUUGCCUCUUGUGGCUAUUGGGAAUGGUGCGACGAAGAAUUUUCCCCUCUUGUGGCUAUUGGGAAUGGUGCAACGAAGAAUUUUCACAAUAUGUGGCAUUGGGGAUCAAUAAUUUGAGAGUUUCAUUGGAUGUUGUUCGUCAUGAAAGAAUAAUUUGUAGAAAACGAUGUCUAAAAUGUGGUGAAAUUGUAUAUAUUGGAGAAGAAAGUGUAGAGAAUGAAGAUUUCCUGCUAUUGUCGUGGUGUAUAUUUGUUGGUGUAGCUGCUAACGUGAUGUAAUGGUGAUUAAUAGCUAUGUAAUGUCCAGAUUUAAAGCUAUGUAAAACUGCAGAUUUAAAGUAAUAAUUUUUAUGUAAUACUGCGGAUUUGAAGCUAAGUAGUUAGUAUGUUAAUGGAGGUAUCUUAAAAUACAAGAGGACUAUAUCCAUUUGUUUUUUACCAAGCUAUUUUGGUAUGAAAUAGACAUUUUCGUGCAAUGCAAAACUACAAAAUAGUUG
rnacentral:lncRNA from 1 species